CGAGAGUUGAAAAACUCCCAACCCGUUGCCUACCUACCCGUACUUGGUGCUUCGGCAGGCGGCCCCGGGGGACCGGGCCGGUGCCUUCUUGUAAGGUGCCUGCCGAAAGCCGCCACCAUUAACGCUUUGUCAUAUCAGUUGUCAUCCGAGUUCAGAAGCAAAUAAAUCA
rnacentral:misc_RNA from 1 species